AGAGACUGCAUGAAUGCACUUUUAUUGAAACCAUGGUCUCAUAUACAGAUGCCUCGUAUGAGACUGAUGCAUGCAAGGCCACUCCUCUUUUACUAGGCAUCAGUCCAAAAGAGGCACAGAGGCCAUGGCACAGAGGCCAUGCCUCCAUCACUAGGUUCAGAGGACAUACCUCUCUAAAUUAUGACUGUAGGUACAGCGGACAUGCGUCCUUCACUAGGACUGACAGGUACAGAGGACACACCUCCUUCACUAGGACUGACAGGUACAGAGGACAUGCCUCCUUCAAUCGGACGGACAGAUACAGAGGACACACCUCCUUCACUAGGACGGACACAUACAGAGGACACGCCUCCUUCACUAGGACGGACAGAUACAGAGGACACACCUUCACUAAGACUGACAGGUACAGAGGACACACCUCCUUCAAUAGGACAGACAGAUACAGAGGACACACCUCCUUCACUAGGACGGACACAUACAGAGGACACGCCUCCUUCACUAGGACGGACAGAUACAGAGGACACACCUCCUUCACUAAGACUGACAG
ensembl:lncRNA